rnacentral:lncRNA from 1 species
GUUGAAGUUAGUAACAUUGUGGCUGUGAACUAAUUGUCUCAAUAUUAGGCUAUAUUGAGUAGGAAAGGUACACUACGAAAACUGCCCGUUCAUCAUGAUGUAAUAUUAAAUUGCACAAUUACGUGUGCAAGUUCAACGUUGCUAGAAACUUAAAUUGGUUUGUUCCUAAGCUUCUGUGGUAUUUGGCUUUGCAGCCUUGGGAAUUUUUAAAAUUUGAUUUUAUGUAAAGGGAUAUCUUGGGUGAAAUGCAGUCCAGAUUUAAAUAACUGAAGCUUUUUGGAAUGGAGGGGCAGUGGAGAAAUGACGUGGUCAAUGAACAGGGCGCUAUAGUUGAUUGUUCUGGUGACAUCUGUGAUGGACUGUGGAUCAAUGGCUACCCUGCUGGUACGUACGUUCAUUAUGCUCUCCGGUUAUUAACAAGUCUUUGACAUAAUACUUUGGUUGUCCCUCUUUUGAUUAAUAUGAUCUGACUAUAGUGU